GACGAACGCUGGCGGCGUGCUUAACACAUGCAAGUCGAACGGAAAGGCCCUGCUUUUGUGGGGUGCUCGAGUGGCGAACGGGUGAGUAACACGUGAGUAACCUGCCCUUGACUUUGGGAUAACUUCAGGAAACUGGGGCUAAUACCGGAUAGGAGCUCCUGUUGCAUGGUGGGGGUUGGAAAGUUUCGGCGGGUGGGGAUGGACUCGCGGCUUAUCAGCUUGUUGGUGGGGUAGUGGCUUACCAAGGCUUUGACGGGUAGCCGGCCUGAGAGGGUGACCGGCCACAUUGGGACUGAGAUACGGCCCAGACUCCUACGGGAGGCAGCAGUGGGGAAUAUUGCACAAUGGGCGGAAGCCUGAUGCAGCAACGCCGCGUGCGGGAUGACGGCCUUCGGGUUGUAAACCGCUUUCGCCUGUGACGAAGCGUGAGUGACGGUAAUGGGUAAAGAAGCACCGGCUAACUACGUG
rnacentral:rRNA from 1 species